UACGGAGGGUGCAAACGUUGCUCGGAAUCAUUGGGCGUAAAGCGCACGUAGGCGGCCGACUAAGUCGGGUGUGAAAGCCCAGGGCUCAACCCUGGAAGUGCACUCGAAACUGACCGGCUUGAAUAUGGAAGAGGGUCGCGGAAUUCCCGGUGUAGAGGUGAAAUUCGUAGAUAUUGGGAAGAACACCGGUGGCGAAGGCGGCGACCUGGUCCGAUACUGACGCUGAGGCGCGAAAGCGUGGGGAGCAAACAGG
rnacentral:rRNA from 1 species